GAUGAACGCUGGCGGCGUGCCUAAUACAUGCAAGUCGAGCGAACAGACGAGGAGCUUGCUCCUCUGACGUUAGCGGCGGACGGGUGAGUAACACGUGGAUAACCUACCUAUAAGACUGGGAUAACUUCGGGAAACCGGAGCUAAUACCGGAUAAUAUAUUGAACCGCAUGGUUCAAUAGUGAAAGACGGUUUUGCUGUCACUUAUAGAUGGAUCCGCGCCGCAUUAGCUAGUUGGUAAGGUAACGGCUUACCAAGGCGACGAUGCGUAGCCGACCUGAGAGGGGGAGCGGCCAAAUUGGAACUGAGACACGGUCCAGAAUCCAACGGGAGGCAGCAGUAGGUAAAUUUCCGCGAAGGGCGAAAGCCUGAAGGAGCAACGCCGAGGGAGUGAUGAAGGCCUUCGGAUCGUAAAACUCUGUUAUUAGGGAAGAACAAAUGUGUAAGUAACUAUGCACGUCUUGACGGUACCUAAUCAGAAAGCCACGGCUAACUACGUG
rnacentral:rRNA from 1 species